UACAGAGGUCCCAAGCGUUGUUCGGAUUCAUUGGGCGUAAAGGGUGCGUAGGUGGCGCUGUAAGUCGGGUGUGAAAUUUCGAGGCUUAACUUCGAAACUGCAUUCGAUACUGCCGUGCUUGAGGACUGGAGAGGAGACUGGAAUUUACGGUGUAGCGGUGAAAUGCGUAGAUAUCGUAAGGAAGACCAGUGGCGAAGGCGGGUCUCUGGACAGUUCCUGACGCUGAGGCACGAAGGCCAGGGGAGCAAACGGG
rnacentral:rRNA from 1 species